AAAUUACCCAACGCGUCACCUGGGUGCCAACAUUCCCAUAAAUCCCAGCAGCUAUAAGCAGCUCUGUCUCAUCUAGUGUAACUGGACGGCUUUGAAACCCUGCCGGAGACCUCGUGGCAUUCCAUGAAACGACCUCAUCACAGGGGAAUGAACUUUAUCUUGAAGCCUAUGGAGUCUCGCUCUGUCGCCCAGGCUGGAGUGCAAUGGCAUGAUCUCAGUUCACUGCAACCUCCGCCUCCUGGGUUCAAACGAUUCUCCUGCCUCAGCCUCCUGAGUAGCUGGGAUUACAGAGAUUAGAAUCUCUUCCUGUUGCCCAGGCUGGUCUUCGACUCCUAACUUCAAGUAAUCCUCCUGCUUUAGCCUCCCAAAGUGCUGGGAUUACAGGCGUGAGUCACAGUGCCCAGCCCCAUUCCCAUUUUCUAAAUCUUUCAGAAUUUCAGAUUGCCUUAAACUACUGGAAAAAAGCUACUGUAAUACCUCGACAUAUCACUGCCAUGCAACACCACCCAAACCAUCUUCACACCUCUGCCCCUGGCAUGUGACUGGCCUGCAUUUCAGGAGGUGAAAGAUCAGACCUUUGUUAAUUGUUAAAGCACUCAGGAACCCAGAAAUAAACAUGCACGUCGAAGUUGAUCUGAGAACUAAAGGAUAUCUUUCAAGUUCAAUAAAUGUGAUAAAAAUAAACAACAUCCUUUCAUAAAUUUAAUGGAGCAUGGCUCUGUGUUUAUCUUGUGUCAUGUACUUGAGAUUACCCCAUUGGAAGAAGAAAACACUUGAUUAAUGCAGGGAGUCUAUUUUGUAAUCUGCAGUGGUUGGAAAAUAUUUUCCUACUUCCUACCAUGCCCUUUUUUGGCUUCUGUAAGGAGGUUAUUAAUGGUGCACUUUACAGUAUUAGAAUGCAGCAGCUUCUAAUGAGAAAUUCAAGAUUCCUAGGUUGCAGCCACUCUCGUAUUUGGUAGCUGGUUAUAAAAGGAUUCCAUGUUCUUUUUUCUUCCACCCAAUGGCUGAAGAGUUUUACUUAGGGUAUCAUGAUACCUGAGAAUAACAACAAUAAUACUAGUAAUAAUAACAAUAAUACUAUCAAAUAUAUCUAACACAUAUCCAAGUGCUAGACAAAGGACCUUUUUUUUUUUUUGAGACGGAGUUUCACUCUUUUUACCCAGGCUGGAGUGCAAUGGCGCCAUCUCGGCUCACCGCAACCUCCACCUCCUGGGUUCAAGCAAUUCUCCUGCCUCAGCCUCCCGAGUAGCUGGGACUACAGGCGUGCACCACCAUGCCCAGCUAAUUUUUGUAUUUUUAGUAGAGAUGAUGUUUCACAUUGUUGGCCAGGAUGGUCUCAAUCUCUCGACCUCCUGAUCCACCCGCCUCAGCCUCCCAAAGUGCUGGGAUUAUAGGCAUGAGCCACCGCGCCUGGCCAACAAAGCGCCUUUUAUAACUUUAUUUUUUUAAGACAGAGUCUCACUCUGGAGUGCCGUGGCAAGAUCUUGGCUCACUGCA
ensembl:lncRNA